rnacentral:lncRNA from 1 species
UCGCGUACACCUCGCGUCCGCAUCUCUCUCUCGUGGCCUCCGCCUCUGCCUCUUCUUCUCCCCAUUCCUGUCUCCUAGCCGAGCUCCGGUGCGCCACAAGGACAACGGGGGGAGGCGAUCCGGUGCGGACGACGCACGUCUCGGCCCCGUAGCAGGAGGUGUCGGCGGCGGAGAUGGUCGAUGGGGAGCCUCUUCUUCCCGUGAUCUGGUCCUCCCCAUUCAUGGCCAUUGGCAGGAGGAUCCCCUCGGAUUUAUUCCAUCCCCGGAGGAGACAGCCACCCUAGGAGGGGCGGUGCACGGGCACGGCUAGCUCGCUGGUCAUGACGUUGUUCCGCGACUGGUUCGCCUUUUUGUCGGCGCCACAGAUGAGGCAUGUUGCUGCGACCUUGCCCUCGUUGCCACGGCGACAGACUAUCCCCCAAGAUGAAUGGCCUCUUCAGGUUGAAAUCCACGGGCUAUGCCAUGCACGAGCUCGUCAUCUAUGUCGAUCUCCACUCUGGCUCACGUGGCGCCGAGGUCAAGCGGGAGGAGAAGGUGAGUUUGGAUCUGUCCGGUCUUCCUAUUUCGAGCCCUCUCUCUCUCUCUCUCUCUCUCUCUCUCUCUCUCUCUCUCUNNNNNNNNNNNNNNNNNNNNNNNNNNNNNNNNNNNNNNNNNNNNNNNNNNNNNNNNNNNNNNNNNNNNNNNNNNNNNNNNNNNNNNNNNNNNNNNNNNNNNNNNNNNNNNNNNNNNNNNNNNNNNNNNNNNNNNNNNNNNNNNNNNNNNNNNNNNNNNNNNNNNNNNNNNNNNNNNNNNNNNNNUUAUGUGCCUACAAGGUGUUCGAUGAAAGAGCCUGUACAUGUGUGAUCUUUAUACUCGUAUAAGUAUCUUAAUGCAACUUGUAGCCUUGCCAUUCUAAUCUAAUUUUGUGCAUUAUCUUCGAUUUUUGUUUCAGAGGGUAAUGCCCAGCUCAUUUGAUGGGUCUAUUUACUGUAUAAGUUAUUUGAGUAAUGAUGUGAAAGCAAUGAAUAAACUAUCACAGAUUUCAUGCUUGCACUGUAGUUUAUUUCUUCAUUCAUACAUCAUCAGUCUUAGUACUUGCUCUUGUGCCUGCCCGGCCUGGGUUUAUUGAGUUUGCCUUCUCUUCCUAAAUACUUCCUCCGUCCGAAAAUACUUGUCAUCAAAAUGGAUAAAAAAAGACGUAUCUAGAACUAAAAUACGUCUAGAUACAUCCCCUUUUAUCCAUUUUGAUGACAAGUAUUUUCGGACGGAAGGAGUAACAGACCUGAUUUCCUUUAUGUCCUUGAAGCAAAUACCACAGUGUUAGCUUGAAAAUGUUUAGGAUACACACAGAACCAGAAGGUAAAUAUGGGGUUUGAAGGAAACAGUACACACUGAUUUCAGGUGCUGCACUUCAGAAACGAGCCCCUCCUUCACCCCCACAAGCACCUACAUGUAAAUUAACCUGCAGUCAGCAUAUUUUUAUAUUCAUUGCUUGGAACGGCAAGCUGAAUCAACUGAAUUACUACAUUAUGGCAGGCCUUGGUGUACAAGACUUUAAGCCACUAAUAGAAAAGAAAAUACUAUGUUACACAGCUACUAUCUAUGGUAGAUACACUACAGAGCAAUUGAUGCAUCAGUCUCACCAAACGAUGUUGUGCUGGGUCUCAUAGGAUCACUUGCAUGUCCUUGGACUUCCUAUAAUGCCUACAAACUAGGAUGACUUGUAUUUAUAGUAACUACAACAGAUCGAAUUUUUGUCCAAAAGGACCACUUGUGGAACACAAUUGACAAAAAAGACCACAUUUGAAUCACAUUGGCAAAACAGACCAGUGAAGCCGUGGCGGCAGGUGCGCCAGCCGACACGUGGCACCUGCCGCCACCGGCUCAGGCGGCAGCCGUCGUGCCACAGAUUUUCGUCAGUGCGACGGAACGGAGCAGCUCCUUUGGGACCUGCCGUCACCAUGCGAGGCGGCAGCUUCUGUUGUUGUUGCUCAUGUUUUGGCUAGCGUGGUGGCAGUGCUACCGUGGCUAUAGCUUGACUCCAUACCGAUGCAUGCAAAGAAUGCUGAUAGCUAGCCAGCGAACACACACAGUCACAGACAUGCGCAUGCUUUCAUGUCAUGCAUAGAUAAUGCAUGCGCAGUCCCAUCACCCAUUUGAUAAAAUAGAGCAAACCUGGUGCUGGCAAAGGGUGCCGCCGCAGCAUGUGGCGGCAGGCCCCACGUCUUCCGUUUUCCGUUCCAAGGCAAAGCUUGUAGCUGUGCUGCUCAACAUGCCGCCUGCGACGAUGGCGGCAGGUGCUGCCGCCUGCACCCGUGGCGGCAGGUGCCACGUGUUGGCUGGCGCUCCAGCCGCCACGGUGAGCUAGUCUUUUUUGCCAUUUGAAUUUUAAGGUGGUCUUUUCUGUUAAUUCGAUUCGGCAGGUGGUCUUUUUGGACAAAAAUUCCAACAGAUCACUCUGAUUAUCUCACACGAAGCAUUUCAAGCCCAUGAGUUGUGGUUGUAGUUCUUUUCAAACUGCCAGGAUUUUAACCAAAAGUUUAGUACAGGUGCAAAUUCUUAUUUGUGUGAUAACUGGUAAGUUUAUGACAUUUUUGUCUUGCAUGCUUAUUUAUAGCUUAUAUCUCUUUAUUGCAAUUCAUAGGACGAGAAUCGGGACAUGAAUCUAAACUAUGAUAUUUUGAUUUAUGAUCGUAUUCAUGGAAAUUGUGCAAAAUAAUGAGCAACGGUCAUUAUUUUGUCCCAGUGAAGCUCCAGGUUUGGUUCAUUGCUGGGGAUAUGAGUUCUAGACUAUGUAGAAGAAAUAUAAAAUAGAAUUAAGCUGGGCUAGAUAUACAUAUUAUACUCAUUGCAUUGCCUUUUAUUAAACAAAUUAUAUAACAUUGUGAUGGGAUAACGACAAUAUUGAAACAUCGUCAGCUGCCACUAUCUAUUUUGUGGGAUCAUCAGAAGGUGAAACUUAUGUAUCGUUCUAUCAUCCUGGUCAUUAAUUUGUUGGCAUGUAGCUGAUGCAAUAUUAGUGUGUGUGCUUGUUUGUCGCUAUUUUGCUGAAACAAGUACUAUUAUUGCAUAGGUUAUCAUUUAUCACUGUUAGAGUUGCAGUUUACCUUUGCCAUGUAGAUAAUGUUCUUACCUCAAAUUGACAUAUAGUGCAUUCCAGGCAUCAGGUUUUAUCACUAUUAAGAUGUAACAAUUGACUUCUCUCAGGGAUAUUUGACAAAUCAGGAUAUAUUCUCCAUUAUCAUCCAUGGGUGGCCCUUCACCCUCAGCCACUUCUCUAAACAAAUAGAACCCUAGGAGUUUCAUCAGAUCAUCAGAUGGGUGCGAACUCGCAUCUGGCCUUGCUGCUAUUUCCGCUACUGGAUAGUCAGUAAUAUCUCAUUGCUUGCUUGACCUUAUAACAUUUUAUUCUAUUUUAUCUCUCUAAGAGUUGUUUCUUGAAAAAUGAAAUCAUGUAGAUUGUGCUUCAUAAAAGUUUCGUAAAAAGGUCUACUGCAUGACCUGCUGGGAUCUGUGCAAUCGCUUUGUUUAGACAAAAAAAAUCAUGAACCAAUUAGUCAAAAACUUGUGAUUGUUAUUAAUCUGUCAAAAGAUUUGUACAACCUAUUGUUUAUACUAAUUAGAUCUUCUUGUUGUUAUUUGCAUCUGAGUUCCUAUAAUGUACUUUGUGUGAGCAGCCAGAUGACCUGGUAUAUGUUCCACAGCUCUGCUGACAUUCAUGAAUCCACGUAUCCACGUAUCUCACUUACCACGUUGUCCUAAAAAUCAUUGACACCUCAUUCUAUGACAGGCUCGGCAAGAAAGGCAGCAGCUGACGGAUGGAGGUCACCACCAUGACGAUCGAGGCCGCAUCGACAGACUCAGGUGCAUGAGCUCGUUGGUGGUUUCAGUUUCAUAAUUCUCGUUACACCUAACCUCUGUUUGCUCAAUCUCUGACAAUUUCGCAUGUCAUUGCAUUGUCGAGUAUGUGUAGCGGGAUAGAAAGCAGUGACGCAUUGUCCACGGAGUGGCCGCCAUGGGACUAAACCUGCUGUCGGGCGUGGCGAGCUUGCCGACGUUUUACUACGAGCUGUCCAGGCACGGCUGCUGGCCAGAUGCUCUGUCACGGCAAGCUUUUCUGGCGCGGCUGCUUGUCGGAGUCUCAUGGGGUGCUACCUUGCAGCAUGCUCUGUCGAGACAAGCUUGCCUGCGUGGCUGCUAGCCAGAGUCUCAUGGGAUGCUGCCUUGCAGCAUGCUCUAUCGUAGCAAGCUUGCCAGCGCGGCUGCUUGCCAGAGUCUCAUGGGAUGCUGCCUUGCAGCAUGCUCUGUCGUGACAUGGUUGCCAGCGCGCUCGCUGGAGUCUCAUGUGAUGCUGCGUUGCAGCAUGCUUUGUCGCGGCAAGCUUGCCGGCAUGGCUGCUGCAAGCGGGUGCUAUGGGUCGGCGGGCUGGUGCCCCUGCAGAGAGAGUCGCUCCUACAGGAGAUGAGGGAGUAGCGGCAGGACGACAAAGAUCAGCUCAAUGCCGCGCCAGUGCCACAUUUUAGCUGGUACACGCUCGGACGGGCAUGGCGUCACUUCUUCAUUUUCUCUUGAACCGGCUCGUCCUGCUAUUUCCACCGAGUUGGAGGAAGAUGGAGAGAUGAGCCAUUUUACUCACUAAUAGAAAAUCAUUUGGGCAGAACUUCCUUUUUCACAAGAAGAGACGAAAAUGCUCCAUGAAGUUGAUUGAUUGUGCCUCCAAUUUUGGAUGUCGUAUGCGUUGCUUCUGAACCACUUCCCUUUAUGUCUUCGGUCAUGUA